GAUGAACGCUAGCUACAGGCUUAACACAUGCAAGUCGAGGGGAAACGGCAUUUAGUGCUUGCACUGAAUGGACGUCGACCGGCGCACGGGUGAGUAACGCGUAUCCAACCUACCCAUUACUGUGGGAUAACCUGCCGAAAGGCAGACUAAUACCGCAUAGUCUUCGAUGACGGCAUCAGAUUUGAAGUAGAGAUUUAUCGGUAAUGGAUGGGGAUGCGUCUGAUUAGCUUGUUGGCGGGGUAACGGCCCACCAAGGCGACGAUCAGUAGGGGUUCUGAGAGGAAGGUCCCCCACAUUGGAACUGAGACACGGUCCAAACUCCUACGGGAGGCAGCAGUGAGGAAUAUUGGUCAAUGGGCGCGAGCCUGAACCAGCCAAGUAGCGUGCAGGAUGACGGCCCUAUGGGUUGUAAACUGCUUUUGUAUGGGGAUAAAGUCAAUCACGUGUGAUUGUUUGCAGGUACCAUACGAAUAAGGACCGGCUAAUUCCGUGCCAGCAGCCGCGGUAAUACGGAAGGUCCGGGCGUUAUCCGGAUUUAUUGGGUUUAAAGGGAGCGUAGGCCGGAGAUUAAGUGUGUUGUGAAAUGUAGACGCUCAACGUCUGACUUGCAGCGCAUACUGGUUUCCUUGAGUACGCACAACGUUGGCGGAAUUCGUCGUGUAGCGGUGAAAUGCUUAGAUAUGACGAAGAACUCCGAUUGCGAAGGCAGCUGACGGGAGCGCAACUGACGCUUAAGCUCGAAGGUGCGGGUAUCGAACAGG
rnacentral:rRNA from 1 species